rnacentral:rRNA from 1 species
UACGAAGGGGGCGAGCGUUGUUCGGAAUUACUGGGCGUAAAGGCGCGUAGGCGGCCGAUCAAGUUAGAUGUGAAAGUCCUGGGCUUAACCUGGGGACUGCAUUUGAUACUGAUUGGCUUGAAUUCGGGAGAGGAUAGCGGAAUUCCCCAAGUAGAGGUGAAAUUCGUAGAUAUGGGGAGGAACACCAGUAGCGAAGGCGGCACUCUGGGGCCGGUACUGACGCUGAGGUGCGAAAGCGUGGGGAGCAAACAGG